GAAAGAAAGAUUGGCCGAUUGGAAAGUUAAAUGCAUACAGGAUUAGGGCUCCGUUUGGUGGAAUGGAAUCUCAAAUAUGGGAAUUGGAUCAAUCUGUAACAGGAAUCAAUUAAGGGAGGAAUGAUACUUAGAUUCCUUAUUUGUUAUUCUUUCAGUGUUGAAAAGGACAAAAAUGGUACUGAAUGGAAUAGGAAUUCAUAGGAAAUCAUGAUUAGAUGGACUAGAAACACCUCACACUUUAAGAAAAUCAUAGAUUAGAAUGGCGAUCAUGCUUACUUGAUUCCUACCUACUAAACAGAUGAGUGUGAGUUAAGAACCAAAAAAAUUCCUUUGCCUGCUGUACUGAGUGUAUGCCAAAAAAUGUUUUAACUUAUAUGGAUUAGUGAUUGGAUUAUAUUCUUUGAGAAUUGUUUAGCAGAAUAUUAGGGGUAAUAGUCUGCCCCAUAGUUAAUGGCUGGUUCGGUUUGGGCGUUUAAGUGACUAUCUACAGUCUACUACCAUGAAAUACUUAGAAAUUUUUAUCUGUUUAAAAUGAAUCUUCAUGUUUUGUGUCCAUUCAAACAGAAAUUGGCAUUUCUGGAGUGACUUGAGGUGUUUUAAGGGUUAAUUCUGUCGCUAGGAUAUCUUUUUUUUGUCCUUUUCGCCAUGGGAAAGAAGCUCAAUGAAUCUUUAAAUAAACGGUACAAUCAGUCGUCUUUCAUCAAUCACAGAAUAUUAACAACAAUAAUUUUUCUUUUCUUUCAUGUUAGGAGAAUUCUUUGGCCACCUGAGGUAGAACAUGUUCUCUGAGGUUGAAAGUUUGACUCUUGAUUGUCAAAAUAAUAUCAUUAUUGUCUGCAUUGCUUUAUCUUUGGAAUGCUACCAAUAAUAAGCAUGGUUGUCAAUUUCAUUAUUAUCAUAUUGAAAUUAUUAUUAUUAUUAAUUAAUUAAUUAAUUUAUUUAUUUAUUAUUUGUGGUAAACAAAUUACAAGAUACUUGUCAAAACAUAUGAUCUGUAUGUCAUGUAUAAGCAAUCAAUCAUCAACGUGAGGUUAUAGGUGAUUGCAUUUAAAUGUUAAAUGCUUGUUCAUUUAUUUGUUUCUCUUGAGUCUUGUCUAAUCCAUCUCAAGCUGGAAACCAGAUUGUAUAUCACUAGGAUACUACAUCGACAUAUAUCUUUUACAUCCUUUAUUUAAUGACUUCAUCCCUAUUUUAAUAUUCAUUGGUUACCCGUGAAUUAGUUGAGCCCACCAUGAGUUAUUACAUUUCUAUCUUUCUCUUUUCUUUAUUGAAGUUUAUUAAAGAAGAAACCAACUUUCUCUCUUGUUUCAAUGUCUACUUGCUAUAGUGCCCGACAACUGCGUGUCUUGUUGCUAAGAAUACAAAACUGUGAUUGUAAGUUGUAACAAUGAUAUGUUUUGAACAGAUUCUGGGAAAAAAUAAAGCUGUUCAAAGGGGAUGAAGAAAAAAGUGUGUGCUUCCUCUCAGUGUGGAAAGGGGCCAUGUGGUUUUGUGCAUUUAGCCACAUGAAUAGUUAUCAAGCAAGUACAGUAACAGUCCUAAUGAUGGUCCACGGCAAUUGCAGAAUUGAAUACAUGAUAAGAGGUUGUAAGUUUCCAUAAAUGGUAGUAGUGCACCCACAUGGCUCAACCUUUCUGGAAUUCUGGAGAAGCGGUGAGGGAUAGACAACAACUUGUAAAGCAACCUGACAAUGAGCUGAGUACUGGUCGAAAGAUGCAUUGCAAGUUAAUUCUAGUGUGGGACCUGUUAAUCACGUGGGGGACGCUGCCUCUUGCUAAUUCGACAAGACAAGGAAAUUGUCAUUUGCAAAUCUCUCCACCAAUAAUCAUCCAUCUCCCACGUGGGAGUCCGGGGCCCUCUCCUAGUAUUACUUGUUUCUUCACAAUAUAUAGUUGCUCCUUUCUCAGCUCAUGAUCUCACUUAUCACACACCACCAUUUCUUUCAUUUAAUUUCCUGCUUGUUUCAUUAAGCUCGUUUUGGCAAGAAACAGAUACUAAAUCGGUAUGGGUGACUCCUCUGCUUCAUAUAUACAUAUGGUUCACCACCUAAUAGAAAAUUGCCUGAUUUUCAACAUGACAAAAGAGGAGUGCAUGGAAGCUCUGUCCAAGCAUGCAAACAUCAAACCACUCAUUACUUCAACAGUAUGGAAUGAGUUAGAGAAAGAGAACAAAGAAUUCUUCGAGGCAUAUUCUCAAUCUCAGAUGAAAAAGAACCGAAUGACAGAGGCAGAGGCCACAGCGCUGAUCCAGAACUCGUUUUCAGACCAUGAAGAUACUAACAAAGAUUCAGACGAAUGAUCAUUCCACCAUUACAGUGAAAAUGGUCUAACCUUGGCAGUGUUCCAGCUGGCCGCAGGUUUCAACACUGUACUUCCUAUCAAGCUAAACGUAUCAUCCCCGUUUGUUUAAUCUAUGAAGACAUAAUAAGUACCACUUGUGACGACAUUAUUACUAAGAUUCAUGCAGAUGCUAUACUCAACAUGCUUGUUCUGAAUUCUUGGGGAAAGAUUGAUUAGCAUUUAACAAUGUUGGUAAAGCAUAUGCAGACACUUAGAAACCGUUAUCCUAGUCUUGUAGACAUGGCUCCAGUGCUGCUGUCAUUUAGCUGUGUACGAUUGUACAUAUUUACAAGCCUGUCGUUUAGUUACAUAUGGUAGGGGCUGCUUUUUUGUAUAUUCCCAUGUUAUUACAGAAAAAUAAAGUUGUAAUGGAUUUUCAGUUUUGA